rnacentral:misc_RNA from 1 species
ACGCAGAGGGGCAGAGAGAGGGGCAG